CCAAAUAUAACCCUAGGAGUUAAAGGCCGAAAAUGUGUCUGAUCCUAAUACGGACCAUCCUCUUAGAUAAUCACCUGGAUCACAUUUCAAUCAUAAAAACUUUAAAAUAAAAAAUCUUAGAUGUUUUCAUCUAACUUUCUUAAGUGUUAAGGAACAACAUUGAUAUCGUAUGAAGCAAAUAUUUUUUCUUGUAAUAAUUGUAUAUAUGUCAAGUGAUGACAAUUAGUUCUUUAAAAGACACAAAUUUGUAUCUUAUGCUUGAAUAAUAAAGAGUCCUUCUUGGAAAGAAGUGACUAGACGAAGUUAUCAAGUAUAAAUUCUCAUGUUCCUAAAAUAUUUGUGUGGCUAAACUUAUUCUGAUUUUUUCUUCCUCAUCAUCAUUCAAAAAAUGUGUGAGAUCAUUUAUGAAAACAUGCAUGGCCAUCAUAUGAAGUACUGAAAUACUAAUUAAAAUUUAAGAGAGACAAUACUCAUAAGCCCCACUAUAAGAGACUAAAUACAUAGUUAUCCUCCAAAAGCCUCAUAUAUAUAUAUUUCUUGCCUAAGAAAUUUAGGCCAUACCUAGAAGGAGUCCUGUCAGGUACAAGACCAUCAAUUUUUACGUAUUUAGGGGUUAGAACGUAAAAGCCACUUAGGGUUAUAUUGAGACCUAUUUAUAUAGGAAAAGUUUGGCCUUUUUUCAUCUAACUUUCUAGAUGGUGCUGAGUACGAUUGACGUCCUGAAUUCCACCCGAACAAGACAAUAGUAUACUUCUCAGUUUCUAAAUUAAAUUCAUUUAUAUAGUAUACUUCUCAGCUUCAAGGCAGAGGAUAUUUAUAUCUUCAUCCUUCUCAUGUUUUCUCUAAAGUAUGUUUUUCUAUUGUGUAAUGAUGUAUGUUGUCAUGUGCAACUAAACCUCUUUGGUUAGGGUUCUAAGAUUAACCCGGCCUUCUUAUUUGUUGGACUCUAUUAACAACAUUUCUUAUUCAGUUUAUGAUCUAAAGUCCAAUUUAGUUUGUAUAUGUCUGUUUCUAGAUGUCACUUUGAAAAGCAUUUGCAUUUGUGGGCUUUCAUGUAAUUUUGCUCAAAAUAGUGCAUUCUCUAUUCUCAAUAGAGCAGAAACAUUUUUUGUGUGGGACAACAGUACCUUUCCUCCCUUUUUUUUAAGUUGGUUCCAAAGUAGGGAGAGAUUGCUAAUCCUUCUAUUUUCUGUCCAUCAUCAAUCUUUCCUUAUGCUGUCACCCAAAAUAAAGAGGCCCUUAGAGAGAGAGAUAGAUAGAUAGGUAGGUAGGUAGGUAGUAGAUAGAUAGAUAGAUAGGUAGAUAGGUAGAUAGAGAGAUAGAUAGAUAGAGAUGUCAUUGUGAUAUCAAAUUGAUCUAGAUCGCAAGAACAAUUUAUGUAUUCAAUUGUAAAGCUUUAGUAAUCUUCUUUAGGGUAUAAAGGUGGAUCGUGUGGUAGCUAAAGUUUGAAGAGACUGUCCAAAACUUGUGUGGCAAAGUGGACCAUAAAAAGAAGAGAAAAUAGUGAAGAAUCUAAGAGGAUAUCUCAGACACCAUAUUAAAAAAUAUCACAACAAGUGGGGACUGGACUAACCCUGUUAUGGUGAACGAAGAUAACUUCUUUGCAUCGUCUUCUUUAUGCAUUACCUCCUUUAUUUGAUAGUUCAGAAGCAAGUUCAUUCAUUAAUUCUCUUCUUGUAUGGAAUUCAUUUUGAUACAUACUUCAUAUCAUCAUCAUAUAUGAACAUCUUAGGUUUGAGAAACACACAAAAUUCUCAAAGUGUUACAAUUCAAACCACAUUCCUUGUGACUAUUAUUUUUACUCCAAAUGCCAUCAAAGCACUUCAUCUUAGGUUUAAUCAUGUUUGGUACAUGAGCCUUGUAUCUUAGCUCUCAUUUUGUUAAUGUUCUAUAAUUAGUUGUUUUUUUUUUUAGGAUAGUUAUCUUUGUUUUAUUGGUGACUGACUUUUGUCUUAUAAAUUCUUUUGGGAUCUCCUUAUGGUUCAAUAUAAACUCAAGUCUUGCAGCAUAUAUAUAGAAAAUUAUCACUAGAGUGUGUACUCUCAACCUUUUUAUUUAAACAUAUUAUUAUGCACAUCAUUGCAUGCUCAUAUAUAUAAGGCACCAAAUGAUAUACACAUACUUUUUUUUGUUUCAAGAAUACACAUAUACUUUUUGAUAGUUGGUUUAACUAGAUUAUUUUGUUAAGGAAAUUUUAUCUUCCUCAUCACUUUUGAAAACAUUAUCUUCCAUGUUGCUCAUGAAAACAUUAUCUUCCUUGUCAUUUUUAGAAACUGCAUCUUCUCCAUCAAUUUUGGAAACUUGAUCUCCCUCAUCAUUUUUGGAAACUUUAUCUUCUUCAUUACUCUUGGAAACUCCAUCUUCUUCACCACUUUUGGAAGCUUUAUAUUCCCUAUCACUUAAGGAAACGUUAUCUUCUUCGUCAAUUUCCGAAAAUUUAUUUCCCUCAUCACAUAA
rnacentral:lncRNA from 1 species